rnacentral:rRNA from 1 species
GAUCAUGGCUCAGGAUGAACGCUGGCGGCGUGCUUAACACAUGCAAGUCGAACGGGAAACCCAUUAUUGAAACUUCGGUUGAUUUAAUUUGUUUCUAGUGGCGGACGGGUGAGUAACGCGUGGGUAACCUGCCCUAUACAGGGGGAUAACAACCAGAAAUGGUUGCUAAUACCGCAUAAGCGCACGGGACCGCAUGGUCCAGUGUGAAAAACUCCGGUGGUAUAGGAUGGACCCGCGUUGGAUUAGCUUGUUGGUGGGGUAACGGCCC